UAGGGAUUGCAGCGGAAAACCCACAGCCUUGCGCAGGCCUUCGCGCAGAGGCUAAGGCGAGGAUUUGCAGCGUAAAGCCCGGCCGCAG
rnacentral:misc_RNA from 1 species